GGCUGCGACACACCCUGCAAAUGUCCUUAAGAGGCAUUCCACACGCCCCACUAGCCCACCCCUCAGGAGACGCAGAAUCUGGGAAGCUCUUAGCAUCCCCGGGAGCGGAGGCCAGUCCUGAAUGGGCUUUAGCCAUUGGAAGAUGAGGGGACUCAGAGCUGUGGACCCGGGAGAAACUGAGGGUACUGUGUAAUGCAUGUGCGUGUGACAUAGCUACUGGUACCACCCCACAUCAGGCAACCUAGUUUGGAAGCCACUAACAUCUUUGGGGGGGGGGAGGAGCAGGCAGUCGAAGGAAGUGAGAAACCCGUGGACCCCAGCGGUUCCCAUGAGUGGAUUUUUAGUGGGAUUAAAGAUUAAAUACCACAGUCCCCAUCUAAGCGAUGCUCAUGCCAUUCCUACUGACACACACUGAGGGGGUUGGCCCCCUCAUUCCUCAAAGCCUUCUUAG
rnacentral:lncRNA from 1 species